UGCGUCGAACUGCAAGGAGUGUCACACGUCAUCGUUGGAAAUCUGAGCAACACCGUCGGCUACCAAGUCCGUGUCACGAAACAGCUGCUAACAAACUGCUGAUAUAUAUUCGCCGAUACAGUAGGCAUCGUACUGUGUCGAACUGCAAGGAGUGUCACACGUCAUCGUUGGAAAUCUGAGCAACACCGUCGGCUACCAAGUCCGUGUCACGAAACAGCUGCUAACAAACUGCUGAUAUAUAUUCGCUGAUACAGUAGGCAUCCUGCUGCGUCGAACUGCAAGGAGUGUCACACGUCAUCGUUGGAAAUCUGAGCAACACCGUCGGCUACCAAGUCCGUGUCACGAAACAGCUGCUAACAAACUGCUGAUAUAUAUUCGCCGAUACAGUAGGCAUCGUACUGUGUCGAACUGCAAGGAGUGUCACACGUCAUCGUUGGAAAUCUGAGCAACACCGUCGGCUACCAAGUCCGUGUCACGAAACAGCUGCUAACAAACUGCUGAUAUAUAUUCGCCGAUACAGUAGGCAUCGUACUGUGUCGAACUGCAAGGAGUGUCACACGUCAUCGUUGGAAAUCUGAGCAACACCGUCGGCUACCAAGUCCGUGUCACGAAACAGCUGCUAACAAACUGCUGAUAUAUAUUCGCCGAUACAGUAGGCAUCGUACUGUGUCGAACUGCAAGGAGUGUCACACGUCAUCGUUGGAAAUCUGAGCAACACCGUCGGCUACCAAGUCCGUGUCACGAAACAGCUGCUAACAAACUGCUGAUAUAUAUUCGCCGAUACAGUAGGCAUCGUACUGUGUCGAACUGCAAGGAGUGUCACACGUCAUCGUUGGAAAUCUGAGCAACACCGUCGGCUACCAAGUCCGUGUCACGAAACAGCUGCUAACAAACUGCUGAUAUAUAUUCGCCGAUACAGUAGGCAUCGUACUGUGUCGAACUGCAAGGAGUGUCACACGUCAUCGUUGGAAAUGUACCUGAGCAACACCGUCGGCUACCAAGUCCGUGUCACGAAACAGCUGCUAACAAACUGCUGAUAUAUAUUCGCCGAUACAGUAGGCAUCGUACUGUGUCGAACUGCAAGGAGUGUCACACGUCAUCGUUGGAAAUCUGAGCAACACCGUCGGCUACCAAGUCCGUGUCACGAAACAGCUGCUAACAAACUGCUGAUAUAUAUUCGCCGAUACAGUAGGCAUCCUGCUGCGUCGAACUGCAAGGAGUGUCACACGUCAUCGUUGGAAAUCUGAGCAACACCGUCGGCUACCAAGUCCGUGUCACGAAACAGCUGCUAACAAACUGCUGAUAUAUAUUCGCCGAUACAGUAGGCAUCGUACUGUGUCGAACUGCAAGGAGUGUCACACGUCAUCGUUGGAAAUCUGAGCAACACCGUCGGCUACCAAGUCCGUGUCACGAAACAGCUGCUAACAAACUGCUGAUAUAUAUUCGCCGAUACAGUAGGCAUCUUGCUGCGUCGAACUGCAAGGAGUGUCACACGUCAUCGUUGGAAAUCUGAGCAACACCGUCGGCUACCAAGUCCGUGUCAUGAAACAGCUGCUAACAAACUGCUGACAUAUAUUCGCCGAUACAGUAGGCAUCCUGCUGCGUCGAACUGCAAGGAGUGUCACACGUCAUCGUUGGAAAUACGUGUGCAAGCGCUUCACAGAGAGCAGCGCUUCAACCCGCCCGCGACGUGCAAUAGGUACGUUUCCCACUUCUCAGCCCCAUAAAAUGUGGGUGAGCAUUGGAUCCAUAGACGUGUUAGAAUCAGGCAAAUACUGCCAGGUGAACCAGUGGUGUGUUUCAAAGUUCUUCUGCCUCUUGUUGAACUGUAUAUCUCCACCCAAAGUGAUGUUGUUUUUAAAAAAAGUGAUUUUUAUUAUAUCCUAAUUCAAAAAUCUGCAGACAUUCUGAAUUGUGGUGCAGAAAGAAUUACAUCUCUUUCGAAAUCUGUUCUAAAGGUAUGCUGUUUAUUACUGCCCGCAGACUUCACUGAAACCGAAACCUACAUUUUGAUCAUUAAAACGAACCUAUGGUAGCACUCAAAUGCGCAGGAUACCUUUACAUUAGUUUGUCAUGAGUGAUUUUAAAUAUUAA
rnacentral:lncRNA from 1 species